AGUAUACGUCAGAGUCAUGGAUUGGAUUAAAGAAAGAUGCAACUGGAACAUUCAAGUGGGCUUCCGACAACUCCGUCGUUACAUUUACGAGCUGGGACAAUAAUGAACCAAGCAGUGGAUAUUGCGUCUCUAUUUCCAACGGCAUGUGGAGGACUAGAUCUUGCGGUGAAAAUCUGAAGUACAUAUGUCAAAGAGGCACAUACCCACUAGGUUAGCGAUGAUCUCUGAUUCUGGCAACUGGAAGGAAACAUGGAUAACGACCCUUGGCUGUUUUAGGCUUACGAUUGAAUACUCACGGCAUUUAUGUGUAACAUCACUGAUGGCGCUUGGCUGAUUCUGAUGCACUAGUCCUUUCUCUACAGAAAGGAUGAAGAUAGAUGUGGCAAUAAGUAAGGUUCAAUUUUAACCAGAAUUAGUGAACACCAAUGUAUAAUACUUUUUAUAUUGUUGUUAAAAAUGCCUCUGCUGUGUUGGAUUCCACACAUGCCACCGCUAAGCCUUUAAUUACUGAAGGCUAUUUGUGGUGGCACGAGUAAGGUUACUCAGACAACGUUUGGUAAGACAAGCAACAAAAGGACAGUUUUUGAGACCAAAUAGAGUUCUUCAUGCCUUUGACCUAUUUCCUUAGUUUGCAAUCUUGAUACUGUUAUUAUCUAUUAACAUUACCGCACUGUUGAGAGCUAAGAUUACGCAGAUGACACGUAGAUUAGGAAUAUUAAAGAGCAACUACAGAAACAAGUGAGAAUUUGAAAGCGUUUCCAAGAGGAGAAAGCUGAAAUUAAAAUGGAGCAAGUGGAAACUAGAAGGCUGUAAGCUGGAGAUGUGAAAGUUGAUCAUCACGGUGGGAGAAUGGAAGCAGCUGAUUCAUAUCAGUAUUUUGAGAGUUAAUGAAAUAUAAUGGAUGAUGGAAGACAAGAAACCAGGGGACUCGCAAAACAAAAGCAAGGAAGACUCGGAGCAUAUGGUGGAAUGUUGGAGGGGAUUGUUGAACUAUGUCUUCUUUACGGAAGGGAAGUGUAGAUGUUAAAUGUAAAUGAAAAAGACUGAAGCUGUUGAGAUGAAUUGUUUGUGUUGUAUAUGUGUCAUAAGAACGACUGGAAAGAUAAGUACUCUGAAUUUGUAUAAAGGGUCUUGUAAGUGAAAAGAUGGGUCGCAGUGUUUUGAAAUGGUUUGGUCGUGUGGAAAGAAUGGAGGACAAUAGUUUGGUGAUAAGAAUGAAAACACUGCAAGUGUUAGAAGGUAGGAGGAGAAGGAUAUCUAUAAAAUAUUGGGCAGAUGUUUUGCGGACACUAGAAAGGAAGAGCUCUAAUAUUCGGGAAUCGUAUUAUUACACAAAAGACAGAUGUCAAUGGCACAGUGUGUAUAGAUUUAGUAGUGGCUAAUGUUGUAAAGGUUUUUUUGCACCGCAUGUCAUCCACAAACGAGCAGUUAAAGUGGGAAUGUAGCAAUGACUAUUGUUUUCCUUUCCCUCUGGAGCUACAUACAGUAAGAUAAAACUGCUUAGUGUGUGUUUGUGAUAUCUGCAUAGUAUAACGCGCGCUGGUAGCUUCCCAUUCAAGUGUAAAAGGACUUAUGGCAGAUGGUAUGUCUGAAAGAAGGAAAAGUUCCAAAGGAAGAGCUGAGCGAAAUAGCUGUCCCUUUUUUCCUUAUUUAUUUAUUUUUUUUUUUUAUAAACGUAAUGGUGAUAAAGGACACGGCAAGAAUUUUAUGAUCAUAACUGCGAAGUCUACUAAGGAAGGUGUUUGGUAUGAUUUUGGUUAGGAAAGUAAAUGACAGGUUUUAUUGGGGGUUUAGAAAGGGAGGAGAGCUCGUGGAUACAGUGAAAAUGUUAUGUGAUAAGUUUGGAAGUAGAUGUGAAAGCUGCAUGCGGCAGACAUAAACAGAGAACGAGCUUAUGACAGAAGUGACACAGAGGCAUCGAGGGAAGUUGUUCAGAGGGAAGUUGUUGAGAGGGAAUUCUAGAAGGAGUAAAAGGAUUUAUGAUGGAAAUAAAGCAUAUGUUUUUUUUUUUUUAGGUUUGAAUGACUAUACUCUGUUUAUUCCCAUCUGUCCAUCCGCCUGUGGUGCUUGCGCAUGGUAACACUGCGUCCCGGGCUUUAAAUAAUAUCCUAUUUUGAAUAUUAACGGUGUAAUUCGCAUACAGUAAAUUAUUAAAAUACUUUUCAGUUGCAAAUGUACACCAAGAUGUCUUUUUAUUUACCUAAAACUUACGCAUAGCGUAACUUUAAAGCCCGGGAUGCAGUGUUACCAUGCGCGACUACCACAGGCGGAUGGACAGAUGGAAAAAAAAAAAAAAACAGAGUAUAGUGUUGUGUAAAAACGGGUCUGAGGCAAGGGUGGAUUACUUUUUCUUGGCUAUUUAAUAUCCAUAUGAAUGAAGUGAUGUGGAAGUCAGAUAAAGGGCAGCAGAUGUAGAAUAAGAAGAUGGGUUGUGGAAAGAGUGUGGAAUGUCUGAGGUUUGGAAUGUCUGACUGGGGCCAGUGAUGAGGAACUACAUGAUUAAUGAAAGAGGUUGGAAGUGUUUUCAAAACGAGGAAAUUGAAAGUAAAUUCCAAUGAAAAAAUAGGGAACCAAGCAGGGAAUGUUAAUAUGUAUAGUAAGAGAAUGGACGUAGUAGAUGCUUAUAACUAUUUCUCAGUAAGGAAUUUAGAUGACUGUAGGACGAAGGAAGAGGUGGUCCACAGAGUUGGGGAAGCUAGAAAGGUAGCAGAAUGUGUGCAAAAGAUUUGGAGGAAACUUGGAGCAUCUACAGAUGCAGGGAUGGUUGAACUAACUCUCCUGUAAGUGAAGUGCACAUGUUGAAUGCGAAAGAAAGAAAGAAGAUGGAAUCUCUGGAGAUGACAAUUAGUGUAUAUUUAAAUAUGUGUGGCAUAAGACAGAUUGAAAGGAUAAGAGAGUCGUGGGAAAGACGAAAUCAAGAGAUUUUAGAUGGUACAGUCAUGUAGAAGGAAUGGAAAAUGAUAGUUUGAUUUAAAAAGUAUGCAAUUUGGAACUGCUGGGAGGAAAGAUAAGAAGAGGAUCUAGAAAGGGACGGAUAGAUGGCAUGAAAGGGCCCAUGGAAAGGACAGCCCUCGACAUCCAUGAAGUGAGAGAGUGCAAAUAAGUUAGGAGUGAAUUGUGUAGUGCGUACAGGGAUUCCAAUGCACUGCUGCUGAGCCUUUUACAUAAAAGUGUAUGGAGCUACUAGUGUUGUGGAAUUUUUUCUGCACAAGGAGUUCAUCCACGAUUCCUACACGAUUCAACAGUAUAAGUGUGAAUGUGUCGGUGUCAUUGCCUCUUAUUCCCUUGCGAGUCACGCCUGGUAGGGGAUACUGCUUAAUGUUGACACACACACUCGUACACACAUACACA